rnacentral:rRNA from 1 species
UACAGAGGUCUCAAGCGUUGUUCGGAUUCAUUGGGCGUAAAGGGUGUGUAGGUGGCGCGCUAAGUCGGGUGUGAAAUUUCGGAGCUUAACUCCGAAACUGCAUUCGAUACUGGCGUGCUUGAGGACUGGAGAGGAGACUGGAAUUCAUGGUGUAGCAGUGAAAUGCGUAGAGAUCAUGAGGAAGACCAGUGGCUAAGGCGGGUCUCUGGACAGUUCCUGACGCUGAGGCACGAAGGCCAGGGGAGCAAACGGG